UCUGAAGCAUUAUAACUUCUGAACCAGCACUUCAGCCUCUGAAGCAACAUAUCCUCUGAACCUCACAACCUCUGAAGCUGAUAUAAGUUCUGAAGCUCUGAAGCUCUGUUUUGGUUCUGAUACGCGUUUCUGUUUUACUUAGCUUUCUAGAGUUAGUUAGUUAGUUUUGUACAGUUGUAAUUCAGUUACGUUUUGUUUGUCCUAGGUAGUUAUGCAGUUACUUGCAUUUUGAAGUAACCACCUAUUGUAUAUAAACAAUUAAGGCCCUUUGUGGAAGAAUAAGAUUUUUUACUUUUCCUUUAUUCAAUUUCUGCUUAUUCUAAAUUCAUUCUUCAUUCAUCUUUCAUCCUUCAGUGCUCUUUGUUUUGGGUUAAUCCCC
rnacentral:lncRNA from 1 species